rnacentral:rRNA from 1 species
UACGGAGGGUGCAAGCGUUAUCCGGAUUCACUGGGUUUAAAGGGUGCGUAGGUGGGCUAGUAAGUCCGUGGUGAAAUCUCCAAGCUUAACUUGGAAACUGCCGUGGAUACUAUUAGUCUUGAAUAUUGUGGAGGUAAGCGGAAUAUGUCAUGUAGCGGUGAAAUGCUUAGAUAUGACAUAGAACACCGAUAGCGAAGGCAGCUUGCUACACAAUCAUUGACACUGAGGCACGAAAUCGUGGGGAUCAAACAGG